GGAGGUAUGGCUGAGUGGGGCAUUGCUUUGCUAAAUCGACAUACAAGUGUAUCAUGGGUUCUCAUCCCAUUUCCUCCG
rnacentral:tRNA from 2 species